rnacentral:rRNA from 1 species
GAAAGGCUAAUCAAACUUGGAAAUAGCUGGUUCUCCCCGAAAAAUAUUGACGUAUUGCGUCGGAAAAGCGCUGUCGGGGGUAGAGCACUGACAGGGCUAGGGGGCCGCAAGGCUUACCAAACCCUAUCAAACUCCGAAUACCGACAAGCGACGUCCGGCAGGCAGGCCGCGGGAGAUAAGUUUCGUGGCCAAGAGGGAAAGAGCCCAGACUCCCAGCUAAGGUCCCUAAGUGAGUGCUGAGAGGUCCGAUUGCUUUGACAGCUAGGAUGUUUGCUUGGAAGCAGCAAUUCAUUUAAAGAGUGCGUAACAGCUCACUAGUCGAGCGAUUGGGCGUAGAUAAUAAUCGGGCAUUAAACAUAGUACCGAAGCUUUGGAUUACAGUAAUGUACUGGUAGGGGAGC